GGUAGGAGAAAAUACCUAAACCCGUAAUGCAGCCUACCACGGUAGCCAGUCCCAAGCCUGGAAGAAAUGCAGAGGGCGGA
rnacentral:ribozyme from 1 species